GCCAGGUGUGGUAGCUCAUGCCUGUAAUCCCAGCCACAUGGGAGGCUGAAACAGGAGGAUCAUGAGUUCAAAGCCAGCCUCAGCAACUUAGCAAGGCCCUAAGCAACUCAGCAAGACUCUGUUUCCA
rnacentral:sRNA from 1 species